UACGAAGGGGGCUAGCGUUGUUCGGAAUUACUGGGCGUAAAGCGCGCGCAGGCGGUUCUUCAAGUCAGAGGUGAAAGCCCAGAGCUCAACUCUGGAAUGGCCUUUGAGACUAGAGAACUAGGGUACGGGAGAGGGGAGUGGAAUUCCGAGUGUAGAGGUGAAAUUCGUAGAUAUUCGCAAGAACACCAGUGGCGAAGGCGGCUCACUGGCCCGGUACUGACGCUGAGGUGCGAAAGCGUGGGGAGCAAACAGG
rnacentral:rRNA from 1 species